rnacentral:rRNA from 1 species
UAUGGUCAUACUACCUUGAAUAAGCCUGAUCUUGGAAACUAAAGCAGGGUCAGGCCUGGUUAGUAUGUGGAUGGGAGAAAUACCAGUUGAACUCAGAA